rnacentral:rRNA from 1 species
GACGAACGCUGGCGGCGUGCUUAACACAUGCAAGUCGAACGGUAAGGCCCUUCGGGGUACACGAGUGGCGAACGGGUGAGUAACACGUGGGUGAUCUGCCCUGCACUUCGGGAUAAGCCUGGGAAACUGGGUCUAAUACCGGAUAGGACUCCUGGCUUCAUGGUUGGGGGUGGAAAGCUUUUGCGGUGUGGGAUGGGCCCGCGGCGCUAUCAGCGUGUUGGUGGGGUAAUGGCCUACCAAGGCGACGAAGGGUAGCCGGCCUGAGAGGGGGACCGGUCACACUGGGACUGAGAUACGGCCCAGACUCCUACGGGAGGCAGGAGGGGGGAAUAUUGCCCAAUGGGCGCAAGCCUGAUGCAGCGACGCCGCGUGAGGGAUGACGGCCUUCGGGUUGUAAACCUCUUUCAGCUAUGACGAAGCGCAAGUGACGGUAGUAGCAGAAGAAGGACCGGCCAACUACGUGCCAGCCGCCGCAGUAA